GUUUCGUAGUGUAGUGGUUAUCACAUCUGCCUAAUACGCAGAAGGUUCUGGGUUCGUAACCCAGCUGGAACA